CCUACGGGGGACUGCAGUAGGGAAUAUUGCUCAAUGGGGGAAACCCUGAAGCAGCAACGCCGCGUGGAGGAUGACACUUUUCGGAGCGUAAACUCCUUUUGUUAGGGAAGAAUAAUGACGGUACCUAACGAAUAAGCACCGGCUAACUCCGUGCCAGCAGCCGCGGUAAUACGGAGGGUGCAAGCGUUACUCGGAAUCACUGGGCGUAAAGGACGCGUAGGCGGAUUAUCAAGUCUCUUGUGAAAUCCUAUGGCUUAACCAUAGAACUGCUUGGGAAACUGAUAAUCUAGAGUGAGGGAGAGGCAGAUGGAAUUGGUGGUGUAGGGGUAAAAUCCGUAGAGAUCACCAGGAAUACCCAUUGCGAAGGCGAUCUGCUGGAACUCAACUGACGCUAAUGCGGGAAAGCGUGGGGAGCAAACAGGAUUAGAUACCCGAGUAGUC
rnacentral:rRNA from 1 species